UGCCACAAUUUCAGAGUCUUGGCAGCUGGU
rnacentral:piRNA from 1 species